CAGUCCAGACUGAUCAGGCAAUAUUUCUUUACUUGGGAGAAAUAUGUGGCUGGGCCGUGAAAACGGCAGCAGAAGAAGCAAGAAGCGCAUCUGCGGGACAGU
rnacentral:ncRNA from 1 species